rnacentral:rRNA from 1 species
CAAAGGAAUUGACGGGGACCCGCACAAGCAGCGGAGCGUGUGGUUUAAUUCGUUGCUACACGAAGAACCUUACCUGGGUUUGACAUAUAGGUUGUAGGGAACUGAAAGGGACCGACCCUUCGGGGAGCCUAUACAGGUGUUGCAUGGCUGUCGUCAGCUCGUGUCGUGAGAUGUUCGGUUAAGUCCGCUAACGAGCGCAACCCUCGUCGUAUGUUAUAUGUGUCAUACGAGACUGCCGGUAAAAGCCGGAGGAAGGUGAGGAUGAUGUCAAGUCAGCAUGACCUUUAUAUCCAGGGCUACACACACGCUACAAUGGUCUGUACAAUGGGUAGCCAAGCCGCGAGGCGGAGCCAAUCCUGAAAGCAGGCCUCAGUUCAGAUUGCAGCCUGCAACUCGACUGCAUGAAGCCGGAGUUGCUAGUAACCGCAGGUCAGCAAUACUGCGGUGAAUACGUUCCCGGGUCUU